rnacentral:misc_RNA from 1 species
CAAAAUAACUACUAUUAUGGUUGAAUCCCUUGUAUAUAUGCAUGAAAUAGACUGUCUAGAGUAUGAGCUACUCUUCUUGUUAUUCUUUACAUAUAUAUAUUUUUUUAAAUUUAGUAAAAGAAUUAAUUACAACUCCAUGGUCUCAUUCAUUGAAUUGCAUUUUAUUCCAUGGAACUUUUGAACUGUUUGUUGUUAUAUCUGUCUUUACUUUUAUACAUGUACUCAAUUUAUUUUUUUUUAAACAUAUGAGUGAUCUUUAAUCAGAUUUUAAGGCAUAUAAUUUUUGUACAAUAAAAUUAAUUUACC